GAAGUUAACUUUAUUUUAAAAAUUAAAUCACUUUAAACUGCAGUGAAAGCUAUUAAUUUUAUAGUUAUAAAAGUAUCAAAGGUAACCCCUCUGAGAACCUUCUCCAUUGUCUGUGUUAUAGAGGUGUCCACUAAAUAUAGGCUAAUUUAUUAGGAAAUCUGGGAAGAAUAGUAUGCAACUAAAUGAUGCAAGUUUCAGCCGGUUGAGGGUUCUUGCUUUUUUUAUUGUGGUGCUAAUAGUGUCUCAGUGUCUUGCGAAGCCAUGCUUUAAAAAAAUGACAGGAAGGCCUUAAAAGCGUACUUAGAUCUUUAUGAAGAUGGAGGGUUAUUUUAUUGGCAGUUACAUUUAAAGAUAGGUUGUGAGGGCCACUUGCCAGGAGUAGAUUUAUAAGUUCAAAAUACCACAUUUGAGCACAAAUUUUACACAGACAUUAUUCAGGUAUGAUGGAAAUUUAAAAGCACACUCUUGUCUCAUUCAUAAGCGAUGCUACAUACUCCACAGAUGUCAAAUUUAUUAAAUUUUGUAUUCAGAAUUACUGUUGGCCUAAAUGUUUUUAACAUUAUGUAACAUUCAACAUUAUAUAACAUUAUAUAUCAUAUUAAAUAAAUUUUUCAGUUUUGAUCUGAGCAAUUAAAAACAUUAUUGUCUUGUUUCCAAGGUUUCCAAGGAAGGUUUCUUCGCUUCAUGCCUGGGUCCUUAUGUACAUUAUUCUGUUUUAUAGAAAAUAACAGUUAACUUGAGCAGGAAAACUCUGAUCAGCCUAGAGAUGCUAGAAAAUAAUUGUGCUAAGAAAUAACAGUUACCUCCAGCUGGAAAACAAAAAAGACAGAACAGCUUGCAGGGGCUGGAAAAUACAACAGAUUGUAGCUUCAAUGGAUGCCAGAAAUAUGUUUAUGAAAAACUGGUAGAUACUGUUUUGUGAAUUGUGCUGGUGAAGACAGUAGUGCAAGAAUAGGUGAAGAUGGAAUCAAGAAAUGCAGAACAGGAGUGAGUCCAUUUAGUCCUGGAAAAAUCAUGGAAGAGGUUUCUUCUGGUUUUGGUGUUGCUUUUCCUGACAUUCAACUACUGGACAGACACAGAGUUGUCAAAUGAAAACAAUAUUCAAGGUAAUUAAUAUGUUGACCAUUUUCACUCUUUGUCUCUUUGAUUUUGUAAAAUGAGUUUUUUGCUAUAUUGUUCCAUAACUAUUCAUCUAUAUAAACCUUUUUGUUUUUUGUUAUUUGCUAAUGAAAGCAUUGUGUGCUUUUUUACAGCCAGUGAACCAGAUGAUAAAGAU